ACUCAAAUGAAUUGACGGGGGCCCGCACAAGCGGCGGAGCGUGCGGUUUAAUUCGACGCAACGCGCAGAACCUUACCAGGGCUUGACAUGACGCUGCAGACGCCGGAAACGGCGGGGCCUUCGAGGGUGCGUCACAGGUGCUGCAUGGCUGUCGUCAGCUCGUGUCGUGAGAUGUUGGGUUAAGUCCCGCAACGAGCGCAACCCUCGCGACCAGUUACGUGGGUGUCUGGUCGGACUGCCGGUAGCAAGCCGGAGGAAGGCGGGGAUGACGUCAAGUCAGCAUGGCCCUUACGUCCUGGGCUACACGCACGCUACAAUGGGUGGGACAACGGGUAGCCAAGCCGCGAGGCGGAGCGAAUCCCCUAAACCCAUCCUCAGUUCAGAUUGUGGGCUGCAACUCGCCCGCAUGAAGUCGGAGUCGCUAGUAACCGCCGGUCAGCAGUACGGCGGUGAAUACGUUCCCGGGCCUUGUACACACCGCCCGU
rnacentral:rRNA from 1 species